AUUGAACGCUGGCGGCAGGCCUAACACAUGCAAGUCGAGCGGAUAAAGGGAGCUUUCUCCUGGAUUCAGCGGCGGACGGGUGAGUAAUGCCUAGGAAUCUGCCUUAUAGUGGGGGAUAACGUCCGGAAACGGGCGCUAAUACCGCACACGUCCUGAGAGAGAAAGUGGGGGAUCUUCGGACCUCACGCUAUCAGAUGAGCCUAGGUCGGAUUAGCUAGUUGGUGGGGUAAAGGCUUACCAAGGCGACGAUCCGUAACUGGUCUGAGAGGAUGAUCAGUCACACUGGAACUGAGACACGGUCCAGACUCCUACGGGAGGCAGCAGUGGGGAAUAUUGGACAAUGGGCGAAAGCCUGAUCCAGCCAUGCCGCGUGUGUGAAGAAGGUCUUCGGAUUGUAAAGCACUGUAAGUUGGGAGGAAGGGCAGUAAGUUUAUACCUUGCUGUUUUGACGUUACCAACAGAAUAAGCACCGGCUAACUUCGUG
rnacentral:rRNA from 1 species